rnacentral:rRNA from 1 species
CAGUCGAACGGCAGCACGGGAGCAAUCCUGGUGGCGAGUGGCGAACGGGUGAGUAAUAUAUCGGAACGUGCCCAGUCGUGGGGGAUAACGCAGCGAAAGCUGUGCUAAUACCGCAUACGAUCUCUGGAUGAAAGCGGGGGACCUGCAAGGGCCUCGCGCGAUUGGAGCGGCCGAUAUCAGAUUAGCUAGUUGGUGGGGUAAAAGCCCACCAAGGCGACGAUCUGUAGCUGGUCUGAGAGGACGACCAGCCACACUGGAACUGAGACACGGUCCAGACUCCUACGGGAGGCAGCAGUGGGGAAUUUUGGACAAUGGGCGCAAGCCUGAUCCAGCAAUGCCGCGUGCAGGAUGAAGGCCUUCGGGUUGUAAACUGCUUUUGUACGGAACGAAACGGCUCCUCUUAAUACGGGGGGCUAAUGACGGUACCGUAAGAAUAAGCACCGGCUAACUACGUGCCAGCAGCCGCGGUAAUACGUAGGGUGCGAGCGUUAAUCGGAAUUACUGGGCGUAAAGCGUGCGCAGGCGGUGAUGUAAGACAGAUGUGAAAUCCCCGGGCUCAACCUGGGACCUGCAUUUGUGACUGCAUCGCUAGAGUACGGUAGAGGGGGAUGGAAUUCCGCGUGUAGCAGUGAAAUGCGUAGAUAUGCGGAGGAACACCGAUGGCGAAGGCAAUCCCCUGGACCUGUACUGACGCUCAUGCACGAAAGCGUGGGGAGCAAACAGGAUUAGAUACCCUGUUAGUCCACGCCCUAAACGAUGUCAACUGGUUGUUGGGUCUUCACUGACUCAGUAACGAAGCUAACGCGUGAGUUGACCGCCUGGGGAGUACGGGCCGCAAGGGUUGAAACUCAAAGGAAUUGACGG